rnacentral:rRNA from 1 species
AACUCUCGGCAACGGAUAUCUCGGCUCUUGCAUCGAUGAAGAACGCAGCGAAAUGUGAUAAGUGGUGUGAAUUGCAGAAUCCCGUGAACCAUCGAGUCUUUGAACGCAAGUUGCGCCCGAGGCCAUCAGCUAAGGGCACGCCUGCCUGGGCGUUGCGUGCUGCAUCUCUCCCAUUG